rnacentral:rRNA from 1 species
UGCGUAGGUGGUUUAUUAAGUUAUCUGUGAAAUUCCUGGGCUUAACCUAGGCAUGUCAGGUGAUACUGGUAAACUCGAGUACAGGAGAGGGUAGUGGAAUUUCCGGUGUAGCGGUGAAAUGCGUAGAGAUCGGAAGGAACACCAGUGGCGAAGGCGGCUACCUGGCCUGAUACUGACACUGAGGCACGAAAGCGUGGGGAGCAAACA